rnacentral:rRNA from 1 species
GACGAACGCUGGCGGCGUGCUUAACACAUGCAAGUCGAACGGAAAGGCCCUGCUUUUGUGGGGUGCUCGAGUGGCGAACGGGUGAGUAACACGUGAGUAACCUGCCCUUGACUUUGGGAUAACUUCAGGAAACUGGGGCUAAUACCGGAUAGGAGCUCCUGCUGCAUGGUGGGGGUUGGAAAGUUUCGGCGGUUGGGGAUGGACUCGCGGCUUAUCAGCUUGUUGGUGGGGUAGUGGCUUACCAAGGCUUUGACGGGUAGCCGGCCUGAGAGGGUGACCGGCCACAUUGGGACUGAGAUACGGCCCAGAAGCCUACGGGAGGCAGCAGUGGGGAAUAUUGCACAAUGGGCGGAAGCCUGAUGCAGCAACGCCGCGUGCGGGAUGACGGCCUUCGGGUUGUAAACCGCUUUCGCCUGAGACGAAGAGUGAGUGACGGUAAUGGGUAAAGAAGCAACGGCUAACUACGUG